GCCCGGGGCGGCUGCGGGAGGCCGGAGCGGGCUGCAGCGGCGGCCGGAAGAAAGCGGGACCCGGGCGGCCGAGAAUGGGGCCGGGGCUCGGGCUCUUGCUCCUGCUGCUGGGGGCUGCCGCGCGCUCCGCCGUGCCCCGCACAGAGAGACCCUUCCCGGAGGUGCAGCAGAUGGUUCAUCGCUUCUUCCAGGAGGCCAUUUCCAACUACAGCAUCUUCCUGGUGGCCCCACAGACCAGGACUCUGUACGUGGGAGCCAAGAACGCCAUCUUCGCCCUGCCUUUGGAGUCAGUCAACCAGCCUGCCAAAAUGAUCUCCUGGGAAGUGCCUAAGAAUCAUCGAGAUUCCUGCACAAGGAAGGGAAAAAAAGAGGCAGAGUGUCAUAAUUACAUCCGCAUUCUGGAGUUUGCUGAUGAGAGCCACCUCUAUACCUGCGGGACCUUUGCUUUUGAUCCACAGUGCGGCUUCAUUAAAGUGGCCAAUUUCAGCAGUGUGGAGCGGCAGGAAAGUGGCCGGGGGAAAUGCCCCUUUGAGCCUACGCAACAGUCAGCAGCCGUAAUGGUCGAUGGUGUCCUGUAUGCUGCCACUGUCAGCAAUUUCCUGGGGACACAGCCCAUCAUCUCCAGAGCAACAGGAAACCUUGAGGAGCGCAUCCGGACAGAGAUCUCAGUGACCUGGCUGAAUGACCCAGUCUUUGUGGGCUCCACUUUCCUGAGAGGGGGCGAGAGUGGAGAGAAUGACAAAAUCUAUUUCUUCUUCACGGAGACAGCCAGAGAGUACGACUUCUAUGAACAAGUGAGGGUCCCACGUGUGGCCAGAGUCUGCAAGGGGGACUUGGGAGGCCUGAAGACCCUGCAGAAGCGGUGGACAACUUUCCUAAAGACCCAACUGAUUUGCUUGGAUCCAGAGAGUGGAACCAACUUCAAUCUACUGAAAGAUGUAUUUACCUUGCACUCUGUAAAUGGGACUUCUGCGGUGUUCUAUGGUAUCUUCUCAGCCCAGAGGGAUGGCGGACAGGUCUCAGCUGUCUGUGCCUACAGCAUUCGGGACAUCCAGAAAGCCAUGAACGGCCGUUUCAAGGAAUUUAAACAUGACUGUGACAAGUGGACAAGUGUCAUGGGUGGGGAUGUCCCUGAGCCACGGCCAGGUGCAUGCAUUACCAAGAGCAUGAAGCUGGCUGGCUUUGGCUCCUCCCUGGCACUGCCUGACCGUGUUCUGACAUUUGUCAGAGAUCAUCCUCUCAUGGACCAGGUUGUUCACCCACUGGAAGUGAGGCCCGUGUUGGUCAAGCUGGACACACAGUACCUCAGAAUUGCAGUACAUCGUGUCAGAAGCAUCUCUGGGCAGGAAUAUGAUAUGCUGUACCUGGGGACCGAGGAUGGACAUUUGCACAAAGCAGUGAAGAUUGCCCAAAAAGCUGUCAUCAUUGAGGAUCUGACACUGUUCCCAGAGCCCCAGCCAAUUCAGAACCUGCAGCUCCACCAGAGCUGGUUGUAUGUAGGGUCCCCUACUGAAGUGACUCAGGUCAACACAACAGACUGUGAGAGAUACAAGAGCUGCAUCGAGUGUGUCCUGGGCAGAGACCCAUCCUGUGCCUGGAGCAGAGAGCUGGGUGCUUGUAUACACCACCAGGGACAAAGCGGGUUACUGCAGGAUCUCACAUCUCUAAGCAUCUUGACAGUGUGUCCACAGGGAACAGCAGAUGUGCCUGUUACAGUCGAGGUGCCAGUGUCCCUGGCUGCCCGGGUUGUGCUCCCCUGUACUCCACCGUCAGCCUGGGCAACCUGCACGUGGCAGAGACCUUUCCAAGAUGCCACCAUGUACGCCUUGCGCAGCGAUGGGCUGGAGUUCACAGUGACAGAGGAUACCCUUGGUGAUUACACCUGCCAGUGCAUGGAAGGUGGAGCAGGGGGCGUGGUCGCCUCCUAUAGCCUGGUGAGGGGCAGCAGCUCUGCUAACACCUGGAAGACAACUGAGCGGAACUACAGUGUCCUGGUGGGACUCCUCUUGUUUUUCCUAGGCUUUGCUGCUGGCUCUGGCUGUUUCUUCAUCUACGAGAGGAGGCGACAGGAGCGACUCCAGAGGGAGCUGCUCAGCCGUGAGAGAAAUGGACUGGAUUUGAUGCAGUCGAAUACAACCAGCUGCAGCCAUGAGCCACACACGCCAAGCUCCCCAGAAGACGAGCGCCACCCGCUGGCUACAGCUAAGAAGAAUGGCAGCCUCAGUGGCUUCCCCCACCUCUACAUCAAUGAGCUGGACAAAGACCAAGCCCGGAUCUACCUGACAGGGGUUCCACUGGCCAAGUGCGAUGAAACCUCCAUUUAGUAGCCCCCGAAGGGAGCACAUCCAUCACCAACACCCAUGGCGAUGCCUGCCCCUAGUUGGGCACAGCCAUCACUGACCUCCCUGGCAUUGUCUGCCCCCUAGGGGGAGGAAGGGCACAGCCAUCAUUGACAUGCCUGGCAGUGGCUUCCCCAAAAGGCGAAGAGGGGCACAGCCACUGUUGACACUGCAAGUCGAGCCUCUUUCUUCAUGUCAUUGCCAGAGUUCCCGUUCUCAGAAUCCAUCUGACUGAUGCGGCCGUCUAGGCCUGGAGUUAGUGUGAUGCUCCAUUGUGGUCAGUGAGCAGAGCUGGUGUGUCUGAGAGUGGGACUCGCCCGGCUUUAUUUCUACUAAAACCUUCGUGUAGCCUCCGGGCUCUGGCCAAAGAAUUCCUUGCUGAGUGGCUUUGAGUCCUUGUGCCCCAGGUCCCCCAACCUCUGUGAAGUUGCUUGGAACAGGUCAUUGGAGUUUCUGUGUUACUAGCCUGGUGGUGUUGUUUGGCAAACAUGCUCCAGGGCCGGGUCCCUGGGCUCUGCAUCCUGUAGAUAUUCCCUGGAAGUGAUGAUUGUAUUGGCUAAAAUUAGCCUUGAUUGUGACUGUAACCCGAGCUAUCUGGAACAAUAUUCCACGUCUCCCUCAUCCCUGCCUGCUGCUCAGCUGUGGGGAGUGGUGGUGGUGGAGACCUGCUAUUGGCUCCUUCAAGAGCAGGAAGCACGCACAGCCAGCACUUACCGAAGCCUUGUGUGUUCCUGUGGGGUCUUCUCUGCCUUCACAGUCUGGUACACAAGAGACAGUAAAUGCCCCUGGAGACCUCUUGGCCAGUGCUGACAAGUGACUGCCUUGGUGGUGCUUUCUAUUAACCAGCACCAUCUUCAUGAAUGUGGUGUGACUGAGACCAGGUGCAGAGUCUCCUUGAGAUCAGGUGCGCCUCUGCGAACAGGAGUUGUCCUCCAGGUGCAGAAGUCUGAAACACCCUUCAGAAAGAAUGGUGGCUGACUCACUAUAAUGCCAAAUUCUGCAGCUGCCCUGGCUGCACAUGCCUUCAGUCCACAGCCAUGUGGAUCCUUGUGUGUCUGGGCUGGAGAAGGCCCAGCACAGUUUUGCCAAGUGUGUUACAGUAGAUGUGAAUGAUCAGAGCCAAUGACAUAGUGGUGCUAUGGAAUAUCGUAGCUUUGCAUGUUGAGACAGGAGAGACUAGGACAUUGCAGAGAAUCACUGUGUGUUUUGGAAGCAGAAGUUGAAAGUGAAAAGAAAUCAAAACUCAGGUGGAAGUUGAUUGUGUCCACUUUUAAGACGAUGCACGUUUUAGACGAUCAUAAGGGUCCCUUCUGACCUUAAAGUCUAUGCCCUGGUCUACACUAGGACUUUAGGUCAAAUUUAGCAGCGUUAAAUCGAUGUAAACCUGCACCCGUCCACACGAUGAAGCCCUUUAUUUCGACUUAAAGGGCUCUUAAAAUCGAUUUCCUUACUACGCCCCUGAUAAGUGGAUUAGCGCUUAAAUCGGCCUUGCCAGGUCGAAUUUGGGGUACUGUGGACACAAUUCGAUGGUAUUGGCCUCUGGGAGCUAUCCCAGAGUGCUCCAUUGUGACCGCUCUGGACAGCACUCUCAACUCAGAUGCACUGGCCAGGUAGACAGGAAAAGAACCGCGAACUUUUGAAUCUCAUUUCCUGUUUGGCCAGCGUGGCAAGCUGCAGGUGACCAUGCAGAUCUCAUCAGCAGAGGUGACCAUGAUGGAAUCCCAGAAUCGCAAAAGAGCUCCAGCAUGGACUGAACGGGAGGUACGGGAUCUGAUUGCUGUAUGGGGAGAGGAAUCCGUGCUCUCAGAACUCCAUUCCAGUUUUCGAAAUGCCAAAACCUUUGUCAAAAUCUCCCAGGGCAUGAAGGACAGAGGCCAUAACAGGGACCCGAAGCAGUGCCGCGUGAAACUUAAGGAGCUGAGGCAAGCCUACCAGAAAACCAGAGAGGCAAACGGCCGCUCCGGGUCAGAGCCCCAAACAUGCCGCUUCUAUGAUGAGCUGCAUGCCAUUUUAGGGGAUUCAGCCACCACUACCCCAGCCGUGUUGUUUGACUCCUUCAAUGGAGAUGGAGGCAACACAGAAGCAGGUUUUGGGGAUGAUGAUGAUGAUGAGGUUGUAGAUAGCUCACAGCAAGCAAGCGGAGAAACCGGUUUUCCCGACAGCCAGGAACUGUUUCUCACCCUGGACCUGGAGCCAGUACCCCCCGAACCCACCCAAGGCUGCCUCCUGGACCCAGCAGGCGGAGAAGGGACCUCCGCUGCAUGUGUUUCAAUGAUCACAGGAUCUUCUCCUUCCCAGAGGCUAGUGAAGAUUAGAAAGAAAAAAAAAAUGCACUUGUGAUGAAAUGUUCUCUGAGCUCAUGCUGUCCUCCCAUACUGACAGAGCACAGACGAAUGCGUGGAGGCAAAUAAUGUCACAGUGCAGGAAAGCACAAAAUGACCGGGAGGAGAGGUGGCGGGCUGAAGAGAGUAAGUGGCGGGCUGAAGACAGGGCUGAAGCUCAAAUGUGGCGGCAGCGUGAUGAGAGGAGGCAGGAUUCAAUGUUGAGGCUGCUGGAGGAUCAAACCAGUAUGCUCCAGUGUAUGAUUGAGCUGCAGCAAAGGCAGCUGAAGCACAAACUGCCACUACAGCCCCUGUGUAACCAACUGCCCUCCUCCCCAAGUUCCAUAGCCUCCACACCCAGACGCCCAAGAACGUGGUGGGGGGGCCUUCGGCCAACCAGCCACUCCACCACAGAGGAUUGCCCAAAAAACAGAAGGCUGGCAUUCAAUACAUUUUAAAGUUGUAAACUUUUAAAGUGCUGUGUGGCAUUUUCCUUCCCUCCUCCACCACCCCUCCUGGGCUACCUUGGUAGUCAUCCCCCUAUUUGUGUGAUGAAUGAAUAAAGAAUGCAUGAAU